UCUGUGAUCAGGCAGGAGAUGAU
rnacentral:miRNA from 1 species